rnacentral:rRNA from 1 species
UUUGUUUUUUUAAGUUUUAUUAUUUGGUAUUGCAUAUCAGUAGAAGUUUUUAUCAUAGUUAUGAGUAAUAGAAUUAAAAUGGUUAAAUUGAAUUUGUUUUUUUUUUACGAAAUUAAUAAUAUUUUUAUUUUAGUAUUGAUAUAACGUAUUUUUAUUUCUGUUUAUUUGUUAUUUAUAGGUUAAGUUAUACUGUUUUUGUUUGUAGAUUUUUAAAUUUUUGUUGCUGUCUUGUAAAUGUUGUGUGUUUUACAUAGAUUUUUAUUUUUUUUUUUUUUUUUUUUUUGAUUAAUUUUUUAAUUAAUUUAUGAUUUUUACUUUAGUAAUUUUUGUUAUUUUGAGGGGUGUUUGUUUUUGAAUUUAUGUUUUUGAACUGGUUUUGUUGCUAAAUGUUUAUUAAAAACUUAGGUUUUUAUGUAAAAUUGUCUUCUGCUCUAUGAGUUUUUAAAUGGCAGCCUUAGCGUGAUGGCGUAAAAGUAGCGUAAGUGAUUUGUUUUUUUAAUGGUUUCAAGUAUGAAUGAAGUUUUUAGCAGCUUUUUUAUUUACUUUUUAUUUGAAUUAUUUUUUUGAUUAAAAAUUAUUAGUUAAGGUAUUACAAAGAUAAGUCUUCGGAAAUUUUGUUUUGAAUUUUGAAAUUUUUGUUUUUAAUUUUUUCUUGGGGAUGGAUUUUAAGAAAGUUUUAUACUAUUAUUAUUAUUAAAAAUUACUCCGGAGUUAACAGGGUUGUAGACAUAUAAAUAGGUUUUUAUAUUAGUGUGCUGCGCUACAUCGAUGUUGUAUAUUUUUUUUGAUAAUGGAGAGGUUUUUUUUAUUUUGAGACUGUUCUUCUUGUAUAAAAAAUUGACUUGAUAUUAGUUUAGUUCGUCGUGAGACAGAGCGGUUUAUCUUGUGUAUUUUUGGUGUUCGGCGGUGUUAGUACGAAAGGAAUGCAAUGUGGGUUUAUAUUUAUGACUUUUUUAUUUUGAUGGAUUUUU